CGUUGAGGACGCUUAGUGUUUUUUUCCGUCUGGGUCUCGAGUUUUCCGGGGCUGGUUGCUCGGAUACUUGGGCAGGCAGACUGGCUGUUCGCCGGGGCCGGGAGGGACUCUCAGGGUAGACGGGUAGCGGGACGGUGAGAAAGGAGUUAACACGGCUUUUCCUGCCGUGCUCCUGAGUGUGCACACUGAGACCGCGGCAGCUCCUGGCUUCGCAGCUCUGCGUACUUGGGCCCCCGAGCUAAAGUAGGCGAGGAGGGUCGUGCAGCAUUGUAGUUUCAGGCAGUGGGCCGUGAGGGCCCGCAGAGCCGCCGGCAGUCCAAAGGGGCAGGCCUUGGGUUCGUGCUGUAACUACCCUCUGGUAGUUUAUGGGUGACUUCGAAUGUGCGGCCUCUGCGCAGGCAGAACUCAAUCGGUAGGUGCUGCAGACUGUGCACCUAGAACGAGGAGCGGCUAAAAGGGGAGGUAACACCGAGGAGGUGACAUUGCAGCUGGGUCCCGCCUGGAAGGGCAUGCGGGGCAGGGGAGCCAUAGGUGCAAAGGCUUCUAGGCCUGUUGAGAGGAAGGAAAGGUUGUUAGGGACGUGGAGGAUGUGCCAGGUGCUGUGCCGAAUCUUGAUCCCAGCAGCUGCUAGAAAGUCUGGUCUGGCGACCCUGGACCUUUUGACAAAGACGGAGGGUGCGGGUGUGGAGGCUCCGGUCCAGACUCAGAGGUGACACAAGGAAAGAAGUCCCCACCUGAAUGGCAGAGCAGGUGGGUAAAGCCUAGUCCCUGAGACCCUGGAGGUGAUGCCCCACAUUGCCUUGCCCAGACCUCAUACAUGCCAUGAAAUAAACUUUUAUCUUUAAA